UACGGAGGUGGCGAGCGUUGUCCGAAGUUACUGGGCGUAAAGCGCGCGUAGGCGGGCCCUUAAGUGAGGGGUGAAAGGCUGAGGCUACAACCCUCAUGUUUGUCCUCUCAUACUGUGGGUCUUGAGUGAGGUAGGGGAGAAGUGGAAUGGGCUGGUGUAGCGGUGAAAUGCGUAGAUAUCAGUCGGAACACCGGUGGCGAAGGCGGCUUCUUGGACCUUUACUGACGCUGAGGCGCGAAAGCUGGGGGAGCGAACGGG
rnacentral:rRNA from 1 species